GCAUAUCAAUAAGCGGAGGAAAAGAAACCAACAGGGAUUGCCCUAGUAACGGCGAGUGAAGCGGCAACAGCUCAAAUUUGAAAUCUGGCUCUCGGGCCCGAGUUUGUAAUUUGUAGAGGAUGCUUUUGAUGCGGUGCCUUCCGAGUUCCCUGGAACGGGACGCCAUAGAGGGUGAGAGCCCCGUCUGGUUGGAUGCCAAAUCUCUGUAAAGCUCCUUCGACGAGUCGAGUAGUUUGGGAAUGCUGCUCUAAAUGGGAGGUAUAUGUCUUCUAAAGCUAAAUACCGGCCAGAGACCGAUAGCGCACAAGUAGAGUGAUCGAAAGAUGAAAAGCACUUUGAAAAGAGAGUUAAAAAGUACGUGAAAUUGUUGAAAGGGAAGCGUUUAUGACCAGACUUGGGCUUGGUUAAUCAUCUGGGGUUCUCCCCAGUGCACUUUUCCAGUCCAGGCCAGCAUCAGUUUUCGCCGGGGGAUAAAGGCUUCGGGAAUGUGGCUCUCUCCGGGGAGUGUUAUAGCCCGUUGCGUAAUACCCUGGCGGGGACUGAGGUUCGCGCAUCUGCAAGGAUGCUGGCGUAAUGGUCAUCAACGACCCGUCUUGAAACACGGACCAAGGAGUCGUCUUCGUAUGCGAGUGUUCGGGUGUCAAACCCCUACGCGUAAUGAAAGUGAACGCAGGUGAGAGCUUCGGCGCAUCAUCGACCGAUCCUGAUGUUCUCGGAUGGAUUUGAGUAAGAGCAUACGGGGCCGGACCCGAAAGAAGGUGAACUAUGCCUGUGUAGGGUGAAGCCAGAGGAAAACUCUGGUGGAGGCUCGCAGCGGUUCUGACGUGCAAAUCGAUCGUCAAACAUGGGCAUGGGGGGCGAAAGACUAAUCGAACCUUCUAGUAGCUGGUUUCCGCCGA
rnacentral:rRNA from 1 species